rnacentral:rRNA from 1 species
GAUGAACGCUGGCGGCGUGCCUAAUACAUGCAAGUCGAGCGAACAGACGAGGAGCUUGCUCCUCUGACGUUAGCGGCGGACGGGUGAGUAACACGUGGAUAACCUACCUAUAAGACUGGGAUAACUUCGGGAAACCGGAGCUAAUACCGGAUAAUAUAUUGAACCGCAUGGUUCAAUAGUGAAAGACGGUUUUGCUGUCACUUAUAGAUGGAUCCGCGCCGCAUUAGCUAGUUGGUAAGGUAACGGCUUACCAAGGCAACGAUGCGUAGCCGACCUGAGAGGGUGAUCGGCCACACUGGAACUGAGACACGGUCCAGACUCCGACGGGCGGCAGCAGUAGGGAAUCUUCCGCAAUGGGCGAAAGCCUGACGGAGCAACGCCGCGUGAGUGAUGAAGGUCUUCGGAUCGUAAAACCCUGUUAUUAGGGAAGAACAAAUGUGUAAGUAACUAUGCACGUCUUGACGGUACCAAACCAGAAAGCCACGGCUAACUACGU